rfam:Candidate division WWE3 bacterium RIFCSPLOWO2_01_FTLL_53_14 rifcsplowo2_01_scaffold_4742, whole genome shotgun sequence.
GGGCGAGUGGCGGAAUGGUAUACGCGUACGCUUUAGGAGCGUAUGGGGAAACCCAUGAGAGUUCAAAUCUCUCCUCGCCCA